rnacentral:misc_RNA from 1 species
AACUUUUGGCAACGGAUCUCUGGGCUCUCGCAUCGAUGAAGAACGCAGCGAAAUGCGAUACGUGAGGUGAAUUGCAGAAUGCAGUGAAUCAUCGAAUCUUUGAACGGACCUUGCGCCCCUUGGCAUUCCGAGGGGCACACCCGUUUGAGUGUCGUGAAAUUCUCAAAACCUUUUCCUUUGCGUGAAAUGAUUUUGGACUUGGGGGCCUUUUGCUGGUUUCACCUCGAAGCGAGCUCCUCCCAAAUGGAUUAGUGGGGUCUGCUUUGCCGAUCCUUGACGUGAUAAGAUGCUUCUACGUCUCGGGUUUUGGCACUGUGCCUCUGCUUCUAACCGUCUCAUUGACAACGAUGGUGUUCCGGUCACCGCCGAUUCGUCGGUGGGAGGCUUGACCCACAAAACGACCUUGACCUCAAAUCGGGUGAGACUACCCGCUGAACUUAAGCAUAUCAAUAAGCGGAGGCU